UUUAGUGUACUUGCGAUGACAGUAGACGCAUAUUAUUUUAAAUCUACUGUCAAAUCGAUGGAAAUUAAGUACAUGAGCGUUAUAUUUACUUUUAUCAGUGGCUUGAAACAAGCAUUUUGAGCAAACGUACGGUAACAUUUUUUUGCGAGUGAUAAACUUCAAAAGUAAAGUGCGGACCUAUGCGAGUGUAUUUUCACAAUGAUUCAUGAUGUUAGUGAAUCUGUGGACCAUUUAAUAUGUUAAAUGCUAAUGAAAAACCAAUGCAUUUCAUUAAAAUGCAACUCACUAUCAAAUGUGGUCUAUUUUCGCUAUUGCUUUUAUGUUUCAAUUUAAACUUAUUGAUAACUGGCCUCUUUUAAAUAAAUUUUACAUUAACCGUUGUGAAAAUUAAAACGCGCGCGAAAAAGUCGGAGAAAGUUUCCUCCAAUAAAACUUCAGAUAGAAAAUGCGCGGGAGCGUUCAAUCGGCCAUUGCUUUUAUAUCAUCUUUGCGACUGGUAUAAUACAUAUUACGAAAAUUUUAAAAUGUUUAAAAGUGGAAAAAUUUAUUGAAAAUGGAAUGGAAGGCGUGUCAAAAAUUCUGAAAGAUAAAAGAUUUGACGAUGACACUGUAGUCUUUCUCAAUGAGGAUUUAUUGGAAAAACUUAAUAUAAACACUAUGGGACAACGUUUACAGAAUCUAAAAGUCGUCAGCUUAUAAACAACCAAGCACCAACAUGGAAAAGGAACCGCUGAUAAUGCCGCAACUUAAACCUCCCUGUUUUGGAUAUAAGAUGCUGGAUGGAGUUUUUAAACAGGCGUUUCUUUGCGUUGAUGGGAAACAUUGAAACGCUUUGGUUUCAAUGGUUUUACGACAAGUUAAUCACACUAAUUGCAGUUUCUUUCUGUUCUUUCCUUUUUCUGUUUUUCUUUUCGCUUUAAAUGUAAAUAAAUAAUGACGUGUUA